rnacentral:rRNA from 1 species
CCUACGGGUGGCAGCAGUGGGGAAUAUUGGACAAUGGGGGGAACCCUGAUCCAGCCAUGCCGUGUGUGUGAAGAAGGCCCUCGGGUUGUAAAGCACUUUCAGUGAGGAAGAACGCCUGGUGGUUAAUACCCAUCAGGAAAGACAUCACUCACAGAAGAAGCACCGGCUAACUCCGUGCCAGCAGCCGCGGUAAUACGGAGGGUGCGAGCGUUAAUCGGAAUUACUGGGCGUAAAGCGCGCGUAGGUGGCUUGAUAGGCCGGUUGUGAAAGCCCCGGGCUCAACCUGGGAACGGCAUCCGGAACUGUCAAGCUAGAGUGCAGGAGAGGAAGGUAGAAUUCCCGGUGUAGCGGUGAAAUGCGUAGAGAUCGGGAGGAAUACCAGUGGCGAAGGCGGCCUUCUGGACUGACACUGACACUGAGGUGCGAAAGCGUGGGUAGCAAACAGGAUUAGAUACCCUGGUAGUC